GACGAACGCUGGCGGCGUGCUUAACACAUGCAAGUCGAACGCUGAAGCUUGGUGCUUGCACUGGGUGGAUGAGUGGCGAACGGGUGAGUAAUACGUGAGUAACCUGCCCUUGACUCUGGGAUAAGCCUGGGAAACUGGGUCUAAUACUGGAUAUGACAUGCCACUGCAUGGUGGUGUGUGGAAAGGGUUUUACUGGUUUUGGAUGGGCUCACGGCCUAUCAGCUUGUUGGUGGGGUAAUGGCCUACCAAGGCGACGACGGGUAGCCGGCCUGAGAGGGUGACCGGCCACACUGGGACUAAGACACGGCCCAGACUCCUACGGGAGGCAGCAGUGGGGAAUAUUGCACAAUGGGCGGAAGCCUGAUGCAGCGACGCCGCGUGAGGGAUGACGGCCUUCGGGUUGUAAACCUCUUUCAGCACGGAAGAAGCGAGAGUGACGGUACGUGCAGAAGAAGCGCCGGCUAACUACGUG
rnacentral:rRNA from 1 species